GGCUCCAGUGGCGCAAUCGGUUAGCGCACGGUACUUAUAAUGCCGAGGUUGUGAGUUCGAGCCUCACCUGGACCA